GCAGCGCCCGGAGGGGCCGCCCUGCGCAUGCCCGCGGGAGGCUCUCCUUCUGCCUCCGCAUGCCCAACGAUCCGGAGAAAAACACGGACCAUGACAUCAAAAGGCCUUGGCAAAGGAAUCGUGAUUAUUGUGAUACAAGAUUCUGCACCUCAAAGGGGAUCCCUGUAGUGAGUUUUGGAAAACGUACAAAGCCUGACUUACAGUAUGCCUGUUAUCUGUGGCGUUUCAUCUGGGGAACUUACUUUUCCUUGAUAGGGUAAACUAUUCUCAUCCAGAGUAUGUCCCUCAGUCUGUAAAAGUCCAUGGUGCCCUACAUCUAUUAGGGGAGUGAGGAAGGGCAGUGGACAUUGGAUCUGCUUCUUUGAAAGCCCCCACUUGUGUUUAGCUUCUGUUAGAGGCCUUUGAACCAGAGCAACUCCAUCUUGAGUAGGCGCUGGGUAAAAUGAGGCUGAGACCUACUGGGCUGUGUUCCCAGGCGGUUGAGGCAUUCUAAGUCACAGGAUGAGAUGAGAGGCCGGCACAAGCAGUAAAGAAGCCGCGGCCAAAACCCACCAAAACCAAGAUGGUGAUGCGAAUGACCUCUGGUCGUCCUCACUGCUACACUCCCACCAGCGCCAAGACAGCUUACAAAUGCCAUGGCAACGCCAGAAUGUUACCCUAUAUGGUCUAAAAAUGGGAGGCAUGAAUAAUCCACCCCUUCUUUAGCAUAUAAUCAAUAAAUAACCAUAAAAAUGAGCAACCAGCAGCCCUCGGGGCUGCUCUAUGGAGUAGCCAUUGUUUUAUUUC
rnacentral:lncRNA from 1 species